UACGUAGGGGGCAAGCGUUGUCCGGAAUCAUUGGGCGUAAAGCGCGCGUAGGCGGCCUCAUAAGUCCGUUGUGAAAGUCAAAGGCUCAACCUUUGAAAGCCGAUGGAUACUGUGAGGCUAGAGUCCGGAAGAGGCGAGUGGAAUUCCUGGUGUAGCGGUGGAAUGCGCAGAUAUCAGGAGGAACACCAAUAGCGAAGGCAGCUCGCUGGGACGGUACUGACGCUAAGGCGCGAAAGCGUGGGGAGCGAACAGG
rnacentral:rRNA from 1 species